UGGUGCUUCUCGCAAAAUUACGCGAUGAUUAAUUCCACAAGUAUAUUUAAGAUUUUAAAGUAGUCCUUGCAUUAGUAUUCGACUGAUUAGGGUUAGUCCUCGCACAUUAUUUGACUGAUUAGGGUUAGUCUAGCAUCUUCCCAAGAGAUUUCGUCUAAAUGUCUUAGUUCUUGCAUACCAUCUGCUAGAUUAGGGUUAGUGACUCGUUCUGUUAGAUAAUU